AUUGAACGCUGGCGGCAUGCUUUACACAUGCAAGUCGAACGGUAACAGGUUAAGCUGACGAGUGGCGAACGGGUGAGUAAUGCAUCGGAACGUACCCGAUCGUGGGGGAUAACGUAGCGAAAGUUACGCUAAUACCGCAUACGAUCUAUGGAUGAAAGCGGGGGAUCGCAAGACCUCGCGCGAUUGGAGCGGCCGAUAUCAGAUUAGGUAGUUGGUGGGGUAAAGGCUCACCAAGCCGACGAUCUGUAGCUGGUCUGAGAGGACGACCAGCCACACUGGGACUGAGACACGGCCCAGACUCCUACGGGGGGCAGCAGUGGGGAAGUUUGGAGAAUGGGCGGAAGCCUGGUCCAGCCAUGCCGCGUGCAGGAUGAAGGCCUUCGGGUUGUAAACUGCUUUUGUACGGAACGAAAAGGUUUGGCCUAAUAAGCUGAGCUCAUGACGGUACCGUAAGAAUAAGCACCGGCUAACUACGUGCCAGCCGCCGCCGUAU
rnacentral:rRNA from 1 species